UACGAAGGGGGCUAGCGUUGCUCGGAAUCACUGGGCGUAAAGGGUGCGUAGGCGGGUUUUUAAGUCAGAGGUGAAAUCCUGGAGCUCAACUCCAGAACUGCCUUUGAUACUGAAAGUCUUGAGUAUGGGAGAGGUGAGUGGAACUGCGAGUGUAGAGGUGAAAUUCGUAGAUAUUCGCAAGAACACCAGUGGCGAAGGCGGCUCACUGGCCCAUUACUGACGCUGAGGCACGAAAGCCAGGGGAGCAAACGGG
rnacentral:rRNA from 1 species